rnacentral:rRNA from 1 species
AUUGAACGCUGGCGGCAGGCCUAACACAUGCAAGUCGAGCGGUAGAGAGGUGCUUGCAUCUCUUGAGAGCGGCGGACGGGUGAGUAAUGCCUAGGAAUCUGCCUAGUGGUGGGGGAUAACGUUCGGAAACGGACGCUAAUACCGCAUACGUCCUACGGGAGAAAGCGGGGGAUCUUCGGACCUCGCGCCAUUAGAUGAGCCUAGGUCGGAUUAGCUAGUUGGUGAGGUAAUGGCUCACCAAGGCGACGAUCCGUAACUGGUCUGAGAGGAUGAUCAGUCACACUGGAACUGAGACACGGUCCAGACUCCUACGGGAGGCAGCAGUGGGGAAUAUUGGACAAUGGGCGAAAGACCUGAUCCAGCCAUGCCGCGUGUGUGAAGAAGGUCUUCGGAUUGUAAAGCACUUUAAGUUGGGUAGGAAGGGUAGGUAACCUAAUAACGUUGCUACUUUGACGUUACCGUACAGAAUAAGACACCGGCGUAACUUCGUGCCAGCAGCC